rnacentral:rRNA from 1 species
CCUACGGGUGGCAGCAGUGAGGAAUAUUGGUCAAUGGACGAGAGUCUGAACCAGCCAAGUAGCGUGAAGGAUGACUGCCCUAUGGGUUGUAAACUUCUUUUAUAUGGGAAUAAAACGUUCCACGUGUGGGAUUUUGUAUGUACCAUAUGAAUAAGGAUCGGCUAACUCCGUGCCAGCAGCCGCGGUAAUACGGAGGAUCCGAGCGUUAUCCGGAUUUAUUGGGUUUAAAGGGAGCGUAGGUGGAUUGUUAAGUCAGUUGUGAAAGUUUGCGGCUCAACCGUAAAAUUGCAGUUGAAACUGGCAGUCUUGAGUGCAGGAGAGGUGGGCGGAAUUCGUGGUGUAGCGGUGAAAUGCUUAGAUAUCACGAAGAACUCCGAUUGCGAAGGCAGUUCACUGGACUGCAACUGACACUGAGGCUCGAAAGUGUGGGUAUCAAACAGGAUUAGAUACCCCUGUAGUC